CCUACGGGGGGCAGCAGUGGGGAAUAUUGGACAAUGGGGGGAACCCUGAUCCAGCCAUACCGCGUGUGUGAAGAAGGCCCUCGGGUUGUAAAGCACUUUCAGUGAGGAAGAACGCCUGGUGGUUAAUACCCAUCAGGAAAGACAUCACUCACAGAAGAAGCACCGGCUAACUCCGUGCCAGCAGCCGCGGUAAUACGGAGGGUGCGAGCGUUAAUCGGAAUUACUGGGCGUAAAGCGCGCGUAGGUGGCUUGAUAAGCCGGUUGUGAAAGCCCCGGGCUCAACCUGGGAACGGCAUCCGGAACUGUCAAGCUAGAGUGCAGGAGAGGAAGGUAGAAUUCCCGGUGUAGCGGUGAAAUGCGUAGAGAUCGGGAGGAAUACCAGUGGCGAAGGCGGCCUUCUGGACUGACACUGACACUGAGGUGCGAAAGCGUGGGUAGCAAACAGGAUUAGAUACCCUAGUAGUC
rnacentral:rRNA from 1 species